AUGCUUGACACCGCCCCCUGGGAAGGAAGACCCGGCCUCCUCUGCAGGAUCCAGCUGAAGGGCAUCGGCUCACUUGUCCAGCUGCAGCCCAUUUACUCUGCCCACCCCUGCAAAGCCAGGCUCUCCCAGACCCGAGACUGCUCAAGCACGUGCCUGGAGGUCCCAGGUGAGGGUGGGGACUCCCUCCAGCUUCUGCCCAGUGAGCCCUGGGCCCUAAGUGGAGGGAGGAGAGGAGGGGAGAUUGACAUCCAGCUGUCAUCCCACUGUUCCUUCCCCUUCUCCGGGAGCAUGCGUCUCCCACCAGCCUCCCUUCCUGUAGCACUACCUGCAAUGGAACAGGAGCAAGAGGCUUGUACACACAUGGCUGGUUUCCUUUGUGAUUUCGUGGGCGCCUACCUGAGUGUGGGAGGUAUUUAUCACUUUUUCCUGCCUGCCCACCCUCUGCCCUUGCAGAAACAUCACUGCCAUGUGGACCCCGGGGGACAAGUCCAUCCAGGGCCGCCUCGUGACACCCCCUUACUGUUACUGGAGUGAGUUUGAGGAAUUCCUAUGUACUAAAAAGAAAAAAGAAUCCUUGACUAAGGCACCCAGCAAACACCAGGAACUAUGUUUGCCUACAAACUGCUAUGUCUCUCUAUGGUGAGCAAGUUCCUGAACUCCUCCCUCACAGAUUAUCUAUUGAAGUAGAUAUGGAUGUUGCCUUGGCUCGUAUGAAAGCUAAUGAAGGUGACUCCCUGCAAAGGGAUAAGGAAAUGAACAUUUCAGCUGCUCUACGAGAUUCUGCUUUUUACAAAAAUUCAAUUUACCUAAAAAAAAAAUCAAUCUGGCAACAUCGAUUAGAAUAAGAAGUACACAUACGAUCUGACCCAGUAGUAUAGCUCCUGGGGAUCCAUCCCACAAAACACUGGCUUGGAAGGGCUUAUGCCUAAGGGCGUCUGUUGCAGCAAAAACUAGGGGAAAAAAAAACUUUAGAUAACAACUCUGUAAACUGCUCCUUGGAGUUCUGCUUUCUUCAUGCUAUUAAGCGUGUGUGUAUAGAAAGGAUUCCAGGUGCAAAAGUCCUUCAAAAACACUGAUUUAUACAAAGUCAAACAGAUGUAUUAUUCGUGGGCUUCUCAGAGCUAUUAAGAUGCUUAUUCAGAUAUUAUUCUAGGAAAUAUAUAUUGAGCCUCCACUAUGAGCCAGGAGUUGUGCUGGGGAAAAAGAACAGUGAUCAAAACACGUUCCUCAGAAUAGAGAAUCCGGAAAUAAACCCUGACACCUAUGGUCA
rnacentral:lncRNA from 1 species